rnacentral:rRNA from 1 species
UACGGGGGGAGCAAGCGUUGUUCGGAUUUACUGGGCGUAAAGGGCGCGUAGGCGGCCACCGCAAGUCGAUUGUGAAAUCUCCGGGCUUAACCCGGAAAGGUCAACCGAUACUGCGGGGCUAGAGUGCAGAAGGGGCAACUGGAAUUCUCGGUGUAGCGGUGAAAUGCGUAGAUAUCGUGAGGAACACCAGAGGCGAAGGCGGUUACCUGGACAGUUACUGACGCUCAGGCACGAAAGCGUGGGGAGCAAAAGGG